UACAGAGGGUGCGAGCGUUAAUCGGAAUUACUGGGCGUAAAGCGUGCGUAGACGGUUAUGUAAGUUAGUUGUGAAAGCCCCGGGCUCAACCUGGGAAUUGCAUUUAAGACUGCAUAGCUAGGGUGCGGAAGAGGGAAGCGGAAUUUCCGGUGUAGCGGUGAAAUGCGUAGAUAUCGGAAGGAACAUCAGUGGCGAAAGCGGCUUCCUGGUCAAGCACCGACGUUCAGGCACGAAAGCGUGGGGAGCAAACAGG
rnacentral:rRNA from 1 species